UGUGAUUCCCUUAGUAACUGCGAGUGAAGCGGGAAAAGCCCAUCGUUUAAUCUCCCCGUCAGAGUGGCGGGGCGAAAUGUAACGGUAUGGAUAGGUUCUCUACCAACAAGGUCCGAUCAAAGUCCUCCGGAUUGAGGUGCCGAAGAGGGUGACAGCCCCGUAUGUGAUUGGACUGAGUUGGGCAGGUGGCCGAUUCCGAGAGUCGGGUUGUUUGGGACUGCAACCUAAAGCAGGUGGUAAACUCCACCCAAGGCUAAAUAUUGACACGAAACCGAUAGCGAACAAGUACUGUGAAGGAAAGUUGAAAAGAACUCUGAAAAGAGAGUUAAAAGUACGUGAAACCGCUAACGGGGAAGCGGAAGGCAGUGUCGAGAUCGAGUGAGUGAGUCGGCUCAAGCAUGCUUGAGUGGGCUAGCUUUGCUUGAUGCGUCAGGGCUAUUGGUGUGCGACGGUUCAAUCGUCAGCAUGGCUUUCACAGCAAUGUAUUUUGCGUGUGGAUGCGGCUGGCGAUCCGCCUCGUGCGCUGAUGCUGGUACAGGAGCGUUGGUGAUGUAUUGUCGGUUGGUGCGGUGUGGUGGUUCGCACUGGUCACAGUGUGGCUACGUGCGGACAAGUCAUGUGGUAGGUCAACAACCAAUGCUAGUUCCUGGCGUGAUACCCAACUUUC
rnacentral:rRNA from 1 species